rnacentral:rRNA from 1 species
GACGAACGCUGGCGGCGUGCUUAACACAUGCAAGUCGAACGGAAAGGCCCUGCUUUUGUGGGUUGCUCGAUUGGCGAACGGGUGAGUAACACGUGAGUAACCUGCCCUUGACUUUGUGAUAACUUCAGGAAACUGGGGCUAAUACCGGAUAGGAGCUCCUGCUGCAUGUUGGUGGUUGGAAAGUUUCGGCGGUUGGGGAUGGACUCGCGGCUUAUCAGCUUGUUUGUGGGGUAGUGGCUUACCAAGGCUUUGACGGGUAGCCGGCCUGAGAGGGUGACCGGCGACAUGAGGACUGAGGUAGGGAGCAGAAGGGAACGGUAGGCAGCAGGGGGAAGUAUGACAGAGUGGGGGGGAGUGAGAGACGGAAACGCCGGGAGCGGAAUGACGGCCUUCGAGUGGAAAACCAAUGUGGAAGGAGACAAAGAGUGAGUGACGGUAAUGGGUAAAGAAGCAACGGCUAACUACGUG